AUACCGUGCGGAAAAUAGGAAGGAACCGUAAACAAGUUAUUGAAUUGAAAUCGAAACUAUGAUAAGUAAUGGAGCAAAAGAGAAAGAAAUAGUAAGUUACUAGCUAUAAAAGAAGAAAAAGAAAUGAAAAGAGAGAUAAGGAAUAAAAAGAAAUGAAUGAAAGUAGAAUAUAUAGGGACUACGAAAAACUAACGAGUAAAUUAUGGGGCGGCUGCUCGUUCUGGCGUGGACGAAUUGAGGGGAAAGGACGGUUCACAGAUCGGGACACUGGAUAACUUUCAACACCAUUAAUGUUCUAUGGAUGUUUACAAGCUGCCGCUUGGCGGCGACAAUGUCGACUCUAUUUAGAAACAAAAUUGAUCGCGAUCUGAAUAACUACUUGUUAUAUGUUUAAAAAUUGAGAUCAACACAAUUAUACGUUUAAAAUCGUGAUGAUUGUCAAAAAAAAAAAUUGAAAGAUAAUUUUAGAAAUGAAAUCGUGCAAGAUCAAAAAUUAUACAAAGAUUAAAUAGUAAAUAGUGAAAAUAAAUUUAAUUAAUUCCAUCUAAAACAAGUGUUUGUCGUUUAAACUGAAUAUCACAAUGGACCAAAACAUGAGAAUAACUUUGAUCCUCGUCACCUGAAAAGUGGUUUUAUGCGAAAAUCGUGCGACGUAUGUGCUUGUUUCCAUCGAAAUUCGAUGAAAUGGUGAAGUCGAUGCUGGCCGAAAAACACGCUAUGAAAAUCCGCUUACCUCGAAACGCCAUUCCACGUGAAGUGUCGCUCACGUUGAACGUAUUCUUUGCAAAAAUAUUUUCAACUCGUAAAAAACAUAGCGGUAUAGAGAGAAAAAAGAAGAUGCGAUAACGAAGUAGCUAGAUAGAAACGAUUUGAAAACAUUUCCGAGAAGCGUGUUGCACGUUUCAUAGUCGUGCAAGAAAUCCAUUUUGAAGCGUAAGAAACUGACAGAGAGCAAAUAAUCGUCGGCAUGUUGACACGAAAAUGAUUUUCAGCGCCGCUAAAACGACACGACAUACCGAUUCCCGCUAACUCGAAUCGAACGAUUUGCUGCUAAUGCAUGCCAGGACAUCCGUGAUCUCGCAUACUCGUACCGGCCUGUAAUGUAUUCACCGGGACGAAUCUGUCUGUGUGUAUCGCUACGAUCGCCGUCUUCUGACAUCUCUUUUGAAUGUUAUUCUUUAGAAGGAAAGGGAACUUGGAUGGAAGAGCGAUUCGUAUUCGUCAGUGCGUACGGCAAGAUCGAGACAGGGCACGUUUCGAACUUGCAAUUACGAUAUCUCGGGAAUCUGGUGUGUCAUUAUUAAAAUUGAUAAAAAAGAGGGAAGAGAAAAAGAAAGAAAGAGCUUGUUUGACAGGUUUCUACAGAUACGAAAUAAUAUUCGUACGCUUUCGAAAUUCUUGUUCUCGACGCCAUAUUUAAAAAAUUACAAUUAAAGUUUUACGUUUAACAAUUUUCACAUUAUAUAUAACUUCAUCAAAUAACAAAGUUAAUAAAUACAAAUAUUACAUAAUUAUUGAAUAUAAAUAUUGAAAUAUUUUAAUUCUCUAAUUUCUCUUUUCCAAAACAGUAUUACUGAUCAAUGAAUCGCGAGCUUGUCGAGACUGAAACGAAUUUUGUCGUUCGUAAAAAGGUGAAAAACAUUAUAAAACAUAACAAGAUAUACAGGAAAAAUGAUGAAGAGAAGAAAACAAAAAUAGGAGAUAAAAAUAAAAAUGAUCCGGCAACAGUUAGUCGCGAAAACAUCGUGGUAAUUACCUGAUUUUGAGCAUUCUGUUCGGCCAUCGCCUUCUCCUUUGCUUGCCUCUUGCACUUGUAUCGGUGAUUUUGAAACCAUAUUUUUACCUGUAACGUGAAAAAGUAAUUUUUCCUAUUAAAAUGAAAUUAUCAUUAAUAGGAAUUACAAAAAAAAAGAUAAGCAAUAUAUUGUUUCAAUUCUAACAAUUUAUAAGCUAAUAAGUAUAUAUUUUUUUAAUUUUUUAAAAUUUAUAAACAAUUUAAGAGGAAAGAAAAGUUGGAUCGAAUUAUUAAAUUUAAAUCUAACUUUCUUUCUUUUCCUAGCAUCAGAAGCGGGAGCACAUCUUUGGUGCGUGAAUUGUUGUCAGGUAGAAACUGAAAUAUUUUUUCAAAGGGACCAAGUCUUUUAUCAUGUAUAAUUAUCAAAUGGAUAUCUAAAAUAACCAGAUUUCCUGCAAUGAGAUCAUCAAGAAGUUUUACCGAUGGGAUUCCUUCUGUAUACGAUGUCAAAAGGAAAAAAACAUCGCAGUUUUAUGAAGUUCCGACCCAGGAGCAGUCGUGCUACGCUCGAAACCGCUUUUACGGCAAUUGAACGCGAUUAGGGAAGCCGGCCGUGCGGACGGGAUCGAAAUCGGCAUCUGCUUAUGACAGCGGCGCGUUAUAAUCCGUAUUGUGCAUUAUGCUGCGUUCACAGGGGCGCGUCCCGAUGAUCAUGGUAGAUUUGUAAUGGCGCAAAUUGGAAUGAGUGAAUAAAAUUCGGUUGAAUUCAUGGAGGCAAGAAAAACAGUGGAUUGAACAAUUUUAAAAAUGAGGACAAAGGGGCAAAUUAGAGGCAUGUGUGAAAGGAUCAAGUAUCGCACAUAUAAAUCGCUCAUAAUCAUAGAAGGUGCUUGAAAACAAGAGGAAGAAAGAGAAGGAGCAAAGGUUGCGAAGAAAAGCGCUUUGUAUCUGGCGAGUCCUUUCGCGCGACUUUCCGCGUAUGUUUUGUGGUGCGACUGAUGCGUAGGGCGGAGAGACCUUAUCUAAAAGCCACGAAGAGGUACUAGACGAGGGAAGUACUCUCUCGCCGCUCCCGUUCGUUAAUUCCUUUUCCACCGAUAAUCCACUCGUUGAAGCCGGUGGAGUUUCGGGUGUGCGGCGACUUCGAGAGGUCUACAAACAGGCCUUGCUUGCCUCAACGCGUUCUUGCAUUCUCUACUUUCACGUGUCACUCAUUCCUUUUUGUCCUGAGCCUUCUUGCCCUCGCGAGCUGGACGAUGCAAUUGAAGUAUGAAUGUAUAUACCCCGUUGCUGUU